AACAGAUCUCAUGACUGGACGCCAGAUUUAGCGAACCUGAAUGACUCGUAAAUAAAAACUUCAGUGCGUCUCUCCACAGAAACAUAUGCAUGCCUUUAGGGCAGGGGCCACAGCUGUAGGAGCCAAAGCUGUUCAAGCACUGGACUCCAGGGAAACAGGGAUUUCUUUCACACUCAUUGACAUCUUCCAGACAUGUGGACACUCGCAUCUGUACCCACCGGCUGUAUUGACGCACUUUCCAGCGGCGCACGGAGUUGACAGACACGCCUCUUCGUCCUUGUCGCAG